rnacentral:misc_RNA from 1 species
UCUAGAGUCGCACAACCUUGAGCGUUCACACUUAUCGGACUGUUGUCAAACAAAGAACAGUGAAGUCGGCAGUCACAGACAUACAAGCAGGUCUGUCGAAUGGUUGACUCGGUACUGAUCCAAACGGGUCUGUAGCUCAGUUGGUUAGAGCACCGUGUUGAUAACGCGGGGGUCGUUGGUUCGAGCCCAACCAGACCCACCAAGCAAUACCACGAAUUCGGGGGUUUAGCUCAGCUGGGAGAGCACCUGCUUUGCAAGCAGGGGGUCGUCGGUUCGAUCCCGUCAACCUCCACCAAAAUAUCAAACCUAAGUCGCUGCACCGGUAGCGCAGACGGAUUUAGGUUUGGUCUUUUAACGAUCAAUGGCUGUUUUUUGUUCUUUAACAAUUUGGAAGAAGUAGUAAAGAAUUUAUCAGUUGGACCUGGUGCGUUGUGAUGACGCGUUGGGAACAACUGGUGGGUUGUGAUUGUAUCAAUCAAACAAGUAGUAAAGAGUUCUCGCAUUCAAAAGCGAUCAAUCCCUGGACUACGGCACGCAAUACUCAACACUAUAACCGUUUCUGGCAGCACAGAAGUUAAGGUUAUAGGGACAAGUGACUAAGUGCACAUGGUGGAUGCCUUGGCGAUUACAGGCGAUGAAGGACGUAGUAGCUUGCGAUAAGCUGCGGGGAGUGAGCAAACACACUUUGAUCCGCAGAUUU